GAUGAACGCUGGCGGCGUGCCUAAUACAUGCAAGUCGAGCGAACGGACGAGAAGCUUGCUUUUCUGAUGUUAGCGGCGGACGGGUGAGUAACACGUGGAUAACCUACCUAUAAGACUGGGAUAACUUCGGGAAACCGGAGCUAAUACCGGAUAAUAUUUUGAACCGCAUGGUUCAAAAGUGAAAGACGGUCUUGCUGUCACUUAUAGAUGGAUCCGCGCUGCAUUAGCUAGUUGGUAAGGUAACGGCUUACCAAGGCAACGAUGCAUAGCCGACCUGAGAGGAUGAUCGGCCACACUGGAACUGAGACACGGUCCAGACUCCUACGGGAGGCAGCAGUAGGGAAUCUUCCGCAAUGGGCGAAAGCCUGACGGAGCAACGCCGCGUGAGUGAUGAAGGUCUUCGGAUCGUAAAACUCUGUUAUUAGGGAAGAACAUAUGUGCAAGUAACUGUGCACAUCUUGACGGUACCUAAUCAGAAAGCCACGGCUAACUACGUG
rnacentral:rRNA from 1 species